UCAUUACAUGUAAACUCGACCCAAACCCUCCUGUGGACACCACAUACAAUCCUCUGAAUCAGACCGUUUUCAGACCUGGACAAAGUGUGAGGGUCUCGUGUGGAGAAAAGCAGUGGGUGAAGGACAGAGAGCUUCAGUCAGCUGAGCUAACAUGUCAAGACACAGGACGCUGGGACUUUGACCCUGUGUGCAGACUGGUCACAUGCUCCAAAACAGCUGAAAAUGUCUACAGAUGGGAAUGGACUAAGGUCUAACACAGUUGAUAUAGAUCAGUAUUUGUGGUAUCGGUGUUAUAGCGAGUAUGAAGAAACAAGUCCCACUGGCAGAGCCACAUGCACCAGACGAGGCUGGGAGCCAAAUCCUCUUUGUAAAGAUAGAGGAUGCACCAAACCUCUUCAUAAAAAUGCAGAAAUUACUGACAGAUCUGAUCAGAUGGAUAAAUAUCAACACAAUGAAAGAGUCUAUUUCAAAUGCACCUAUGACCCUCGAGUCACCUUUUAUGUUGACUGUUAUUAUGGAGACUGGACAGGCUCAAUACAACAUGUAAAGGUAAGCACCAACCUGAUGGACCUGGAACCAGUUUCAUUAAAGGAAACACUUUGAUAAUGUGAUAUUGGAAAUGGUUACAUAAAUGUUUGAGAUACUCCAUGAGUUUAGACUUUAUCACCUUUAAUAAUUAUCAAGAAUAGCAACAUAAAGUUUCAAGUGAUACAAUGUGUGAUGUGUUUGUGUAGAGCAACCAUGUACAACUACACCAUACAUUGAAAAUGGAGAGAUGCUCAGUGACAUGAUGACAGAGUAUGACCAUGGUGAGAGUUUGCAGUUCAGAUGUAAGGUGAAAGAACCACCUUCAGUGUGACCUGUCAGUCCGGAGAGUGGAAGAAAGAAAAAUCAUGUGAAGGUAAAUGUGCACAAAACAGAUCACGGUAUGAAAACAAACACCGUCAUAUUUCAAAUAGAAGAGCCAUGUCUUCAUACUCAUGCAAAAAACAACAACAUUUUUUGUCAGACACUUUUUAGCACUCAAAUUGCCUCUAUUUCUGAUCUUUUACGCUGAUAGCUUGGGCAAUGUGAUUUUAGAUUUAUUUGCUGUGAGCUGAAGACGUUGUAACACGUUUCCCAUACAUAAUCAGCAUCAAGUCAGACGUAUUUUAAAGUCACAAUAAUGAAUAACAAAAUACAUUUACUGCGACACAGUAAAAUGAGUGAUGUGCGAUGAACAGUUUAUAUGAACUGACUCACUUUUACAUGAGAGAGACUGCAACAAAGGGAAAGUUUUCUUUCAGAAAUCAUUUUGAAACACUGGUGGUUUGGAGGAGUGGAUGGACAGGCUUAGGCGGCUGAUGGUCCUACUGCCGCGCUUUAGCUGUGGGAUGGAACUGAAAGUAUAGGAAACAGCAGGGAGAGAGUGUAUCUGUGAUAAAAACAAAACAAAGAAAAAAAAAUUACUGUUAAACCAUUUCACAUAAUAUGUGAAAAAUCAAUAUUUAGUUAAAAAGAUACAGUGCAAUAAUAUUUCUAUAUUGACACAAGUACCAUCUUUCAUAUGGGUUAUUGUUGAAAACAGAUUUUUACUGUUUUUUAAUGUUCGGUUUUUAAUGUUCGAGAUUCUAGUCUAUAAGGCAAUGUUUCUAACCUUCUAACAUUUUACAAAAAAUCUGAAAUUACUGACAAUUAUCAAAAGGAUAAAUAUGAACACAAUGAAAGAGUCCAUUUCAAAUGCACCUUUUAUGUCAAGUGUUUUAUGUUGACUGUUAUUAUGGAGACUGGACAGACUCAAUUACCAACAUGUAAAGGUAAGCACCAACCUGAUGGACCUGGAACCAGUUCAUUAGGAGGAAACACCUUUGAUAAUGUGAUAUUGGAAGCACAUGUUUGAGAUACACCAUGAAUUUAGAGAAAAAACAACCACUGUCAUAAUUCAAAUAGACGAGCCAUGUCAUAAUAAAUGCUCAGACAAAAAAACAAAAAAUCUAUUGAGUCGUGUUUUGGUCCUCUUUGUAGUCAGAUUCUUUUUAGCACUCAAAUUGCCUCUACUACCGAUCACUAGCUUAAGUAGUUUUGGGAAACACAAUUUCCACUCUUUUUAGCUGUUUUCUGGCGGAAUAUAAACUUAUUUAUCACACACAAAUAAGUCCAGUCUAAAUCGGGUUCAUAUGGAUGUUUUUUCAUAGCAGAUUGAUUAGAAGCAAAAAAACAGCAGUCGUAGCUAGCGUUAGCAUGUAGCAUGAUGUAAUCAUGGCACCACUUUGCUCCUCUCCAUGUCUUAUUCAGCAUUUGUUAAAGUAG
rnacentral:lncRNA from 1 species